GAUGAACGCUGGCGGCGUGCUUAACACAUGCAAGUCGAACGAGAAGUGAAGACGGAAACCUUCGGGCGGAAGGCUUCAUUUCGAGUGGCGGACGGGUGAGUAACGCGUGGGUAGACUGCCUUAUAUAGGGGGAUAACAGUUUGAAACGACUGUUAAUACCGCAUAAGAUCACAGCAUCGCAUAGUGCGGUGGUAAAAACUCCGAUGGUAUGAGAUGGACCCGCUUUCCAUUAGCCAGUUGGCGGGGUAACGGCCCACCAAAGCGACGAUCGCUAGCCGAUCUGAGAGGAUGACCGGCCACAUUGGGACUGAGACACGGCCCAAACUCCUACGGGAGGCGGCAGUGGGGAAUAUUGCACAAUGGGGGAAACCCUGAUGCAGCGACGCCGCGUGAGUGAAGAAGUAUUUCGGUAUGUAAAGCUCUAUCAGCAGGGAAGAAAAUGACGGUACCUGAGUAAGAAGCCCCGGCUAACUACGUG
rnacentral:rRNA from 1 species